rnacentral:tRNA from 1 species
GCUGGGUUGGCUCAGUGGAUAGAGCAUCAGCCUGCAAACUGCAGGGUCCCGGGUUCGAUUCCCGGUCAGGGCA